AGGACGAACGCUGGCGGCGUGCUUAACACAUGCAAGUCGAGCGGAAAGGCCCUUCAGGGUACUCGAGCGGCGAACGGGUGAGUAACACGUGAGUAAUCUGCCCCUAGCUCUGGGAUAGCUCCGGGAAACCGGGAUUAAUACCAGAUACGACCACUUUAGACAUCUGUUGUGGUGGAAAGAAUUUUGGCUAGGGAUGAGCUCGCGGCCUAUCAGCUUGUUGGUGAGGUAACGGCUCACCAAGGCGACGACGGGUA
rnacentral:rRNA from 1 species